rnacentral:misc_RNA from 1 species
GAUGAAGAACGCAGCGAAAUGCGAUAAGUAGUGUGAAUUGGAAAAUUCAGUGAAUCAUCGAAUCUUUGAACGCACAUUGCGCCCUUUGGUAUUCCAAAGGGCAUGCCUGUUCGAGCGUCAUUUGUACCCUCAAGCUUUGCUUGGUGUUGGGCGUCUUGUCUCUAGCUUUGCUGGAGACUCGCCUUAAAGUAAUUGGCAGCCGGCCUACUGGUUUCGGAGCGCAGCACAAGUCGCACUCUCUAUCAGCAAAGGUCUAGCAUCCAUUAAGCCUUUUUUUCAACUUUUGACCUCGGAUCAGGUAGGGAUACCCGCUGAACUUAAGCAUAUCAAUAAGCGGAGGA